CACGUAUAGAAUAGUUUAAAAAAUUUUGUUACAAUAAACAAUUAUAAAAAAUUAUCAAAUUUAUUAUAAUUUUUAAAAAGUAUUACAAACAAAUUGUAUCUUUUUAGUUGUUGAAGAGUUCAGUCCUAUUCCAAAUUCCGGUCGUAUACGGGUUAUUGAAACUGAAAAAGGAAACGAAACUGAAACGGCAUGUCUGAAAUUGCUAACCAACAUGAAAUCAAUCAAAGUUAUUGGUUUAAAUGGAAUGAUUAUCAAAAUCAUCUUUCUGAUGUAGUUAGACAACUUUUAGAGGAAGAUUGUAUGGUGGAUGUUACCCUGGCUGCUGCUGGGGAACGUAUUCAUGCACAUCGUAUAGUUCUUUGUGCUUGUAGCACUUUGUUUCGAGAAAUAUUGAGUCAAGUAAAUGAAGAUCAUCCAACAAUAAUAUUAAGUGAUAUAUCUGCUCAAGAUAUAAAAUCUAUUAUAGAAUUUACUUAUCAUGGAGAAGUACGAGUUCCAGUUGAGAAUAUUAAUAGUUUAUUAGAUGCAGCUCGUUCAUUGAAAAUCUGUGGUCUUAUCGAAAUUGAUGGGCUUGAAGAAACUGAUUCCAUUGUGAAUAAUAAAGAUUUUAAUGAUAAUAAUGAAGAAUCAAUAACUGUAAUUAGUGAGGCUGAAGAAAAAGUUAUUAAUUCAUUACAACAUGAUUAUGAAAAUUUAGAGAAUCAACAAAAAUAUGAAAUUACUGAAAAUUCCACAUUGAAUAAAAAAAAGAAACGCAGACGUGAUGCAACAAAAAGAGAUUAUAGUGAUGAUAUGUUGGCAUCAGCAAUUAAUGAUUUAAAGGCAGGUCAAACAUUGAUAGAAGCUUCUACUAAACAUAACAUACCACGUUCAACUUUGUACAUGCGUGCUAAAGCAUUAGGUAUUCAUUUAAAUGCAUCAAGAAAUGAAUAUCCGGCAGAAUGUAUGAAAGCUGCUAUAAAUGCGGUAAUUGGUGGAUCAAGUCUACAACAUGCAUCAGAGAUGUUUAGUAUACCAAAGACUGUAUUGUGGAGGCGUAUUCAAAAAGAAGGAUAUCAAAUAUUACGUUCAGAAAUGAAAAGAUCUUAUGGAUCUGAUAAACGGGAAGCUGCAGUUAAAGCUUUAGAAAGAGGAGAGAAUUUAACAAAAGUUGCACUUGAAUUUAAAAUUCCAAAGACUACUUUAUUUAGAGAUAAGGCGCGAUUAGUAGAUGAAGGAAAACUCCCUCUCUCAUUUUGGAAGAAACGUAAAACAGAAAAUGAAGAAUUAAAAAAAUCUCGUUUGGAAGAAGCUGUUGCUGCUUGUAAAGGAGGAAAAAUGUCGCAAGCAGCAGCAUCAAUGACUUAUCAUAUUCCAAAAACAACAAUUUGGAGACGUCUUCAACAAGAUGGUUUCAUCAGAAAUUCCUAUAACUUAUAUAGAUGAAAAUAGUAUACCUGAAGAUUCUGUGAUAAUAUUAACAGCAGAAGAUAUGGAUGGACUUAAUUUGGAAGAAGGAAGACAAAUUAUUGUUAAUUCAGAAUCAGGACAAGAAUAUGUUCCUUGUGCUAUAAGUAUUGAAGAAAAUUCAAAUUAUUCACAAACAGAAAGUUAGCAUAUGAAUUAUUAUCAUUCGAUUACUACUCGUUAAUUGUGUAUAUUAAAUUAAUUUUGUAUAUUAAUUUAGAGUUCAAUAAUAUAUUAAAAUUCGCGUAUGCAUACAUAUAAUAUAAAAACAAGUAUUUAAUAAUAAUCACAAAUUAAUUGAAUUG
rnacentral:misc_RNA from 1 species